rnacentral:rRNA from 1 species
AUGCAGCAAGGACGGCCCCUUGCUUAUUACAGCUCUGCACUUUGUCCAAGAAAUGCGGCACUCUCCACCUAUGAGAAAGAAGCUCUUGCUAUUCUGGAAGCUUUAAAGAAAUGGAGACACUACCUGUUAGGGAACAGUGUCAUUAUCAAGACUGACCAACAGUCUUUGAAAUUCAUUAUUGAUCAAAGAAUUACAGAAGGAGUGCAACACAAAUUGAUGAUGAAACUGCUGGAAUUUAAUUUCACAAUCCAAUACAAGAAGGGGAGUACUAAUAGAGUGGCAGAUGCCCUGUCUCGAAUGUGGCCUAAAUGUAUGGCUAUCUCCUCUGUCACUCCCUUAUGGGCUGAAGAUCCGAUAACAAGCUACAGAAAUGAUCCUGUGACAAAAGCUUUGCAAGAGAAAUUACUGCUGCAGAAAGCUGAGACUGUCACAGAUUACACAUUGCAUGCUAGUAUUAUCAGAUAUAAAGGAAAGAUACUAGUGGGCAAUGACAAAAACUUGCAAGAACAACUCAUUGCUGCAUUGCAUAGUUCUCCAGUAGGAGGCCACUCUGGCAUGAGAGCUACUUAUCAAAGGAUAAAAGGCAUAUUCUAUUGGCCUGGCAUGAAACAACAUGUAGAGACUUACAUUGCAUCUUGCCCAGUUUGCCAGAGAGCAAAGCAUGAAAAUUGCCCUCAACCUGGACUAUUAGACCCCCUCCCAGUGGCUGACAUGGCAUGGCAACAUAUUUCUAUGGAUUUCAUUGAAGGUCUCCCUAAUUCUCAAGGCAAAGAGGUCAUUUUAGUGGUGGUUGAUAGAUUCACAAAAUACUCCCACUUCUUGGCCCUCUCACAUCCUUAUACUGUUCAUAGUGUGGCUCAGGUUUUUGUAGAUCAUAUCAUCAGGUUGCAUGGACCUCCCAAGCUAAUCAUUUCGGAUAGAGACAGGAUAUUCACCAGUCAAUUGUGGAGAGACAUCUUUGCAGCACUUAGAGUGGAGUUGAGAUACAAUUCUGCAUAUCACCCUCAAACAGAUGGGCAAACAGAGAGAGUCAACCAAUGUUUAGAAACAUAUCUGAGAUGCAUGUCCACUUUGGAACCAAAGAAAUGGCUAUCUUGGCUGCCCCUUGCUGAAUAUUGGUACAAUACAACUUACCAUACAGCUCUAAAAAUGUCACCGUUCCAGGCUUUAUAUGGAUUUCCCCCUCCUUUAAUUUCUGAAUUGGCCAUCCCUGGUCCAGAAGACUUGGAAGCUCAGGAAUUUUUAUCGGCUAAACAACACAUGUUAGAUCAACUCAAGGCAAAUUUAUCCCAAGCUCAAAAUAGGAUGAAGAGGUAUGCAGAUUUAAAAAGAAGUGAGAGACAAUUUCAACCUGGAGACCUAGUAUACUUGAAAAUGGCUCCAUACCGACUAGCAGCAUUUGGUUUUCGAGGUGCCUUAAAACUACAGAACAAAUAUUAUGGUCCUUUCAGUGUAGUUCAAAGAAUUGGUAACUCUGCUUACAAACUCCAAUUUCCGGCACAUGUCAAGAUACACCCAGUCUUUCAUGUCAGUCAGUUGAAGAAGCAUUUGGGGAAGAAAUCUAUCCCUAGUCCAGAUCUGCCAAUGGUCAAUGAGGAUGGUUCAAUCAAAACUGAACCGGCUAUGGUGCUUGAAGUGAGACAAGUACCAAGACACAACCUGCAUGUUGUUCAAUGGCUAAUUCAGUGGGAAAACAUGGCACCCGAAGAUGCUACCUGGGAAGAUGCUGAAUUCAUAAAGCAUACAUUUCCAGCAUUCUUUCGUUCGACAACUCAAGCAUGGAGAUCAGUCUCAUAA